AUAGCUGAUUUGAGAGGAUGAUCAGCCACAUUGGAACUGAGACACGGUCCAAACUCCUACGGGAGGCAGCAGUGGGGAAUAUUGGACAAUGGGCGAAAGCCUGAUCCAGCAAUACCAUGUGUGUGAAGAAGGCUCUAGGGUUGUAAAGCACUUUAGUUGGGGAGGAAAGCUUGUGAGUUAAUAGCUCAUGGGAAGGACGUUACCCAAAGAAUAAGGACCGGCUAACUCCGUGCCAGCAGCCGCGGUAAUACGGGGGGUCCGAGCGUUAAUCGGAAUUACUGGGCGUAAAGGGUCUGUAGGUGGUUUGUUAAGUCAGAUGUGAAAGCCCAGGGCUCAACCUUGGAACUGCAUUUGAUACUGGCAAACUAGAGUAUAGUAGAGGAAUGGGGAAUUUCUGGUGUAGCGGUGAAAUGCGUAGAGAUCAGAAGGAACACCAAUGGCGAAGGCAACAUUCUGGACUAAUACUGACACUGAGGGACGAAAGCGUGGGGAUCAAACAGGAUUAGAUACCCUGGUAGUCCACGCUGUAAACGAUGAGUACUAGCUGUUGGAUUCGGUGUAAAGGAUCUAGUGGCGUAGCUAACGCGUUAAGUACUCCGCCUGGGGACUACGGCCGCAAGGCUAAAACUCAAAGGAAUUGACGGGGACCCGCACAAGCGGUGGAGCAUGUGGUUUAAUUCGAUGCAACGCGAAGAACCUUACCUGGUCUUGACAUCCUGCGAACUUUCUAGAGAUAGAUUGGUGCCUUCGGGAACGCAGUGACAGGUGCUGCACGGCUGUCGUCAGCUCGUGUUGUGAAAUGUUGGGUUAAGUCCCGCAACGAGCGCAACCCCUAUUGAUAGUUACCAUCAUUAAGUUGGGUACUCUAUUGAGACUGCCGCUGACAAGGCGGAGGAAGGUGGGGACGACGUCAAGUCAUCAUGGCCCUUACG
rnacentral:rRNA from 1 species